rnacentral:rRNA from 1 species
UACGUGGGGGGCAAGCGUUGUCCGGAAUCAUUGGGCGUAAAGAGCGUGUAGGCGGCCCGAUAAGUCCGCUGUGAAAGUCCAGGGCUCAACCCUGGGAUGCCGGUGGAUACUGUCGGGCUCGAGUCCGGAAGAGGAGUGUGGAAUUCCGUGGUGUAGCGGUGAAAUGCGCAGAUAUCAGGAGGAACACCAAUGGCGAAGGCAGCACUCUGGGACGUGACUGACGCUGAGACGCGAAAGCGUGGGGAGCAAACAGG